rnacentral:lncRNA from 1 species
CUCCAGGGAGUGGAAGAACUGUGAAAAAGGCUGACUACCAAUCAGGUGAAGUCACCACAGGGAUGCUUUGCAGUUGCUAAUGAUCCAAAUUUCCAACCAGGAAGGAAAUCAGUGUUCUUAUGUAUUCACGAGACCCUCAAGAUUUCCUUAGCAACGUGAUCCGGAGAAAUCAUAUCAAGACCACAGGUUAAACGUGUGACACUCAGGCAUCAUUAAGUUCUUAAUCUCUGUCAAGAUAAGAAUUAGGAAAAUAAAAGCCUG